GCGCUGAUGGUGGAAUGGUAGACACGCCAUCUUGAGGGGGUGGUUAGGCAACUAGUGCGAGUUCAAGUCUCGCUCAGCGCACCA
rnacentral:tRNA from 1 species